AAAGACUUGACGGUACUUCACAACAACCUAGAGGAGCCUGUCCAAUAACCGAUACCCCACGAUUAACCCAACCUACCCUAGCCCAUCAGUCUAUAUACCGCCGUCACCAGCUUACCCUGUGAAAGAAAUAAAGUAAGCCCAAUUAGGCCACCCCUAACACGACAGGUCGAGGUGUAACCCAUGAGUAGGCAAAAGAUGGGCUACAUUUUCUUCUAAACAGAAAACACGAACAAACUAUGAAACUAGAAACUGAAGGCGGAUUUAGCAGUAUAUUAAGGACAAAAUACUUA
rnacentral:rRNA from 1 species